CUUUUCCUCUGCACAGGUUUUGAUAAAUCUCCCGCAGUGUGUUUCAGAACGGAUCUUUCAUCAGGACAUAAAGAUCCGAUGGGAGUUUGGCCAUGGAGCUUGGCUUAAAGGAGGGGUGAUCAGACAUUUCUAUACUGUGUCAGCUAGCAGAGGUAGAUGACAGAUCUUACAGGCCUAAAGAGCCCUUAGGAAGCCAUUACCAUGUGAUCAGUCACAUGUGGGGGAGGAGACAGACCCCAGGAUCUGCUGAGGAGAGUCUGCAGCUGGAAUAUGAAGUUUUAGUAUUGGAUUUGUUCACUCAGGCGCACGAAACACUGUGUAACCGGUUACCCCUCCUCCUCUGUACCUUCCCCGCCUGUUUACACCGAUAUGCAGCUCUAAGAAAAUAAAGACUUCCCUGCAUGGCUGGGUUCACACUGUGGCCAUAUUUUUGUGAGAUAUCCAAUACAUGCUGAAAAUUUUACACUGCGUUAACCCAACCUUAAAGGUUUUGCUGCGGCAAGGAGAGAAGACUGGGGACUCGGGAGAUGUCAAAGAGAACAGGAGGCCCAGUGCUGAUUCAGAAGCCACCCAGGAAGAGUUCUUAACCCAUUGACUCCCUGAGACAUUGCAAUGGAUUUCUCAGUCGAUACAAAAGCGUACACAAUCCCAACAACAGCAUGCACAAUCCCAGUCGCAUAAAAUGUAUAUUUCCACCAAGUUUAGUUAAAUAGAAUGGCAUACACCAUUAUAUUCAUGACUUUAAGGGAGAUUUAUCAAAACUUGUGCAGAGGAAAAGUGGAGCAGUUGUCCAUAGCU